rnacentral:tRNA from 1 species
GCCUUAGUUGUGUAAUGGUCAGCACACUCGACGCGUAUUCGAGAGGUCCGAGGUUCGAGUCCCGGCAAGGGCA